CCUACGGGAGGCAGCAGUGAGGAAUAUUGGUCAAUGGCCGCAACUCUGAACCAGCCAAGCCGCGUGAAGGACGAAGGUGCCAUGGAUUGUAAACUUCUUUUGUCAAGGGAUAAACUCAGUCUCGAGAGCCUGACUGCGGGUACUUCAAGAAAAAGCAUCGGCUAAUUCCGUGCCAGCAGCCGCGGUAAUACGGAAGAUUCGAGCGUUAUCCGGAUUUAUUGGGGUUAAAGGGUGCGCAGGCCGGCCCUUAAGUCAGGUGUGAAAUGCCGCGGCUCAACCGCGGCGGAGCAGUGGGAACUGGGUGUCUUGAGAGGUCGAGAGGUAGGCGGAAUGCGCAGUGUAGCGGUGAAAUGCUUAGAGAUUACGAAGAACUCCGAUUGCGAAGGCAGCAUACCGGAGGGGAACUGACGCUGAGGCACGAAGGUGUGGGUAUCGAACAGGAUUAGAUACCCGAGUAGUC
rnacentral:rRNA from 1 species